GGGGAUAUAGCUCAGUUGGUARAGUGCUUGCCUCAAAAGCACAAGGCCCUGGGUUCGAUCCCCAGUACCACCA